rnacentral:rRNA from 1 species
GACGAACGCUGGCGGCGUGCUUAACACAUGCAAGUCGAACGAAGAGCGAUGGAAGCUUGCUUCUAUCAAUCUUAGUGGCGAACGGGUGAGUAACGCGUAAUCAACCUGCCCUUCAGAGGGGGACAACAGUUGGAAACGACUGCUAAUACCGCAUACGAUCCAAUCUUGGCAUCGAGACUGGAUGAAAGGUGGCCUCUAUUUAUAAGCUAUCACUGAAGGAGGGGAUUGCGUCUGAUUAGCUAGUUGGAGGGGUAACGGCCCACCAAGGCGAUGAUCAGUAGCCGGUCUGAGAGGAUGAACGGCCACAUUGGGACUGAGACACGGCCCAGACUCCUACGGGAGGCAGCAGUGGGGAAUCUUCCGCAAUGGACGAAAGUCUGACGGAGCAACGCCGCGUGAGUGAUGACGGCCUUCGGGUUGUAAAGCUCUGUUAAUCGGGACGAAUGGUUCUUGUGCGAAUAGUGCGAGGAUUUGACGUACCGGAAUAGAAGCC